GAUGAACGCUGACAGAAUGCUUAACACAUGCCAGUCAACUUGAAUUUGGGUUUUUAACUUCGGUUUGGGUGGCGGACGGGUGAGUAACGCGUAAAGAACUUGCCUCACAGCUAGGGACAACAUUUGGAAACGAAUGCUAAUACCUAAUAUUAUGAUAAUAGGGCAUCCUAUAAUUAUGAAAGCUAUAAGCGCUGUGAGAGAGCUUUGCGUCCCAUUAGCUAGUUGGAGAGGUAACGGCUCACCAAGGCGAUGAUGGGUAGCCGGCCUGAGAGGGUGAUCGGCCACAAGGGGACUGAGACACGGCCCUUACUCCUACGGGAGGCAGCAGUGGGGAAUAUUGGACAAUGGACCGAGAGUCUGAUCCAGCAAUUCUGUGUGCACGAUGAAGUUUUUCGGAAUGUAAAGUGCUUUCAGUUGGGAAGAAACAAAUGACGGUACCAACAGAAGAAGUGACGGCUAAAUACGUG
rnacentral:rRNA from 1 species